rnacentral:lncRNA from 1 species
CUCGGGGGCAGUAUUGAGACAUUUUGAAAAAAAUAUGUGCCCAUUUUUAACUGCCUCCUACACCAACUCAGAAGCUAGGAUAUGCAUAUUAUUAACACAUUCGGAUAGAGAACACUCUGAAUUUUCUAAAACAGUUUGAAUGGUGUCUGUAAGUAUAACAAAACUCAUAUUGCAGGCAAAAACCUGUGAAAAAUAGAUUUAAAAAAAUGUGAAUUUUGUGACUGUACUAUUUAGUGUCAUUGUUUUAUAGAUACCAUAGUGAGAAAGGAUUCAUUUCGCAACACCUACGGCUUCCACUAGAUGUCAACGAUCUUUAUAAAGUUGUUUGAAGCGUCUAUGAUAAACAGAGAGCAAAUUAGAAUCCAAGGAAGUUGACAUGUCAUCACUUCAUUUUUUUGCGCCUGCGCAUAAAUCUGAGAAACAAACCACAUUUGUUCCGGACCUGGGAUGCCUUCCGGACCUGGGAUGCCUGUCUUCUGAUGGAGAUAAUCAAAGGACCUGAGCCCUAGGACCAUGCCUCAGGACUACCUGGUAUGACUCCUCCUUGCUGUCCCCAGUCCACCUGGCCGUGCUGCUGCUCCAGUUUCAACUGUUCUGCCUGCGGCUAUGGAACCCUGACCUGUUCACCGGACGUGCUUGUUGCACCCUCGACAACUACUAUGAUUAUUAUUAUUUGACCAUGCUGGUCAUUUAUGAACAUUUUAACAUUUUAACAUUUUGACCAUGUUCUGUUAUAAUAUCCACCCUGCACAGCCAGAAGAGGACUGGCCACCCCUCAUAGCCUGGUUCCUCUCUAGGUUUCUUCCUAGGUUUUUGGCCUUUCUAGGGAGUUUUUCCUAGGGAGUUUUUCCUAGCCACCGUGCUUCUUUCACAUGCUUUGCUUGCUGUUUGGGGUUUUAGGCUGGGUUUCUGUACAGCACUUUGAGAAUAUCAGCUGAUGUACGAAGGGCUAUAUAAAAAUAAAUUUGAAAUUUGAUUCAAUGCACCUUGGCAUAGAUUCUACAAGUGUCUGGAACUCUAUUGUCAGGAUGCAUUUGGUGUUUUGUUGAUGGUGGUGGAUAACGUUGUCUCAGGCGGUGCUCCAGAAUCUCCCAUCAGUGUUCAAUUGGGUUGAGAUUUAGUGACUGAGAGGGCCAUGGCAUAUGGUUUGCAUCGUUUUCAUGCUCAUAAAACCAUUCCGUGACCACUCAUGCCCUGUGAAUGGGGGCAUUGUCAUCUUUGGGGCAUCGCCAUGGUAACCAAAAUAAUGGCCUGCCCAGCAUUUUUAUAUCUGACCCUAAGCAUGAUGGGAUGUUAAUUGCUUAAUUAACUCAGGAACCACAGCUGUGUGGAAGCACCUGCUU